GACGAACGCUGGCGGCGUGCCUAAUACAUGCAAGUAGAACGCUGAAGGAGGAGCUUGCUCUUCUGGAUGAGUUGCGAACGGGUGAGUAACGCGUAGGUAACCUGCCUGGUAGCGGGGGAUAACUAUUGGAAACGAUAGCUAAUACCGCAUAACAGUAGAUGUUGCAUGACAUUUACUUAAAAGGUGCAAUUGCAUCACUACCAGAUGGACCUGCGUUGUAUUAGCUAGUUGGUGGGGUAACGGCUCACCAAGGCGACGAUACAUAGCCGACCUGAGAGGGUGAUCGGCCACACUGGGACUGAGACACGGCCCAGACUCCUACGGGAGGCAGCAGUAGGGAAUCUUCGGCAAUGGACGGAAGUCUGACCGAGCAACGCCGCGUGAGUGAAGAAGGUUUUCGGAUCGUAAAGCUCUGUUGUAAGAGAAGAACGAGUGUGAGAGUGGAAAGUUCACACUGUGACGGUAUCUUACCAGAAAGGGACGGCUAACUACGUGC
rnacentral:rRNA from 1 species